rnacentral:rRNA from 1 species
UACGGAGGGUGCGAGCGUUGUCCGGAAUCACUGGGCGUAAAGGGCGCGUAGGCGGCGCGGAUAGUCGGCGGUGAAAGCCCGGAGCUCAACUCCGGGUCGGCCGUCGAUACUUCCGGGCUUGAGCACUGUAGAGGCAGAUGGAAUUCCGGGUGUAGCGGUGGAACGCGUAGAGAUCCGGAAGAACACCGGUGGCGAAGGCGGUCUGCUGGGCAGUUGCUGACGCUGAUGCGCGACAGCGUGGGGAGCAAACAGG